AUUUAAGUAGUUUAGGUUUAAGACGUUAGCUUGUGGGGCUGAAGAAAGAUUGAAAUCUCUUAGAUA
rnacentral:tRNA from 1 species